rnacentral:tRNA from 1 species
GUCAGUUUGGCCGAGUGGUUAAGGCGAUAGACUUGAAUUAUCUAUUGGGCUCUGCCCGCGUCGGUUCAAAUCCGGCAGCUGACG